UGAAGCAUUCAGGAUGUGGGGGCCACACAGUUCCCAGUGUGCACCUAGGGGUGACCAGGAGGAGGAGAGGCGCCAGGGCCUCCCUUACCCCCGCCCCAGGGGCACUCCGUAGGCAGGAUCCCUGCAGAUCCUAGCUAGGAAACGCCAGUGAACGGCAGCGCAGGGAACGGGGCGGGGCCGCUGGCUUCGCCCACCGCCACGGUGUUGGGGGCUGGGGGUGGCCCUCGGGACUGGUGUGGAGCCUGAGCCUGACCCACUGACUUGGCUGAGUGGGGAGACUGGAGGGUCGCAUCCGGAGCUGGGCCCGGGGACGCCCGCUGGUGGGAAGGGUGCGCGCGC
rnacentral:lncRNA from 1 species